GACGAACGCUGGCGGCGUGCUUAACACAUGCAAGUCGAACGGAAAGGCCUCUUUCGGGGGGUACUCGAGUGGCGAACGGGUGAGUAACACGUGAGUAACCUGCCCUUGACUUUGGGAUAACUUCAGGAAACUGGGGCUAAUACCGGAUAGGAGCUCCUGCUGCAUGGUGGGGGUUGGAAAGUUUCGGCGGUUGGGGAUGGACUCGCGGCUUAUCAGCUUGUUGGUGGGGUAGUGGCUUACCAAGGCUUUGACGGGUAGCCGGCCUGAGAGGGUGACCGGCCACAUUGGGACUGAGAGACGGCCCAGACUCCUACGGGAGGCAGCAGUGGGGAAUAUUGCACAAUGGGUGGAAGCCUGAUGCAGCAACGCCGUGUGCGGGAUGACGGCCUUCGGGUUGGAAACCGCUUUCGCUCAUGACGAAGCUUUGUGUGACGGUAGUGGGUAAAGAAGCACCGGCUAACUACGUG
rnacentral:rRNA from 1 species